UGCCCAGCAACUCCUAUCCCUGCCUCCUCGCGGUAUUGGCCGGGGUACGAGAAACCUAAGGGAAGAUCGGGUAACCAACCCCGGUGGAAAGCAUACGACCAAGCUGAUAGGGUAGG
rnacentral:ribozyme from 1 species